rnacentral:rRNA from 1 species
GACGAACGCUGGCGGCAUGCCUAAUACAUGCAAGUCGAGCGAACAGAUGAAGUGCUUGCACUUCUGACGUUAGCGGCGAACGGGUGAGUAACACGUAAGGAAUCUACCUAUAAGCGGGGGAUAACAUUCGGAAACGGGUGCUAAUACCGCAUAAUAUCUUCUUCCGCAUGGAAGAAGAUUGAAAGACGGCUCUGCUGUCACUUAUAGAUGACCUUGCGGUGCAUUAGUUAGUUGGUGGGGUAAUGGCCUACCAAGACGAUGAUGCAUAGCCGACCUGGGAGGGGGAGCGGCCACAUUGGGACUGAGACACGGCCCAAACUCCUACGGGAGUGAGCAGUAGGGAAUCUUCCGCAAUGGGCGAAAGCCUGACGGAGCAAUGCCGCGUGAGUGAAGAAGGCCUUCGGGUCGUAAAACUCUGUUAUAAGAGAAGAACAAAUUGUAGAGUGACUGCUACAGUCUUGACGGUAUCUUAUCAGAAAGCCACGGCUAACUACGUGCCAGCAGCCGCCGUAA